CCCAAAGUGCUCGGAUUACAGGCGUGAGCCACCGGACCUGGCCAGCAGGUAACAUUUAUUAAGUAUCUACUAUGCCUUAGGCAUGGUGUUAAUGUAUAACUAUUAUGUUUAAUCCUUACAGCAGUUUACAAAGUACCAUAGGUGGUAUGCAUAAUGAAGCAGAUCUAUUGAUGUAUUUACUCAAGGUGAUUAAGCUACUAGGUAGUGGAAUUCUAGUGGGUCUAGAUCUGGACUUGAUGGCUGAGUUCUUACUAAUAUACCUUGCUACUUUGGAAGAGGAAUAGAGUUUCAACAUGUGUUGGGCAGAAUAUUCAAAGCUAAAGAAAUAGCUUGCACAAGGUAGGGAGAUGGGAAAGUGAAGUGUCUGUGGUGAUGAACUGAAGAGUAUUGAAAGUGGACAAUAAGACUAGAAAGGUAAAUUAAAGCCAGAUUUUGGAGGCCUUUCAAAGCUGUUCACAAUGUUUAAACUUUAAUCUGUAGAUGAGGGGAGCCAUCAAAGGAUUUUUCAACUAGGGAGUGACACUAGGUUUCAGGUUUGCUUCAUUAGCAGUAUGGAGUAUGUGUUUGGAAUCUCCACAGGGGUCAGUACAGAACAGGAUGACACUGCUAGGAGUUGGUUCUCAAUAUGUUUCUUCAUUUGGUAUAUUGAAAUCAGUAAAAGUAAAAUAUUUUGGAAAUCUCAGGUUUCCUGUAUUUCAAUUUUUUUAUGAUGUUAUUUGGUUAGAACUCCCCAAGGCAUUUUAUUUCAUAUCAUGUUUCUCAGCCCAUUUGAUAUCUUCCAGGAUUUUUCUACAGUUCUCCACUUCUGUUUAUUUUGGAACCAGUUGAAUAUGAAUAACUAUUGCAGACAAUUGUUUUCAGCUAUUUCAGAUGGGAAAGAAUAAGGACAUAGGUUUUAAGGAGAGCUAAUGCAGGUUGCUGUUUGAACAACUGGAGAAGGAUGACAUGGACAGAGAGAAGGGGGAAUUAAAGGAGUUAUGCAGGCCAGCAGAGGAAGAAAUGAUCCCUUUUCUGCUUGCACAGGAGGAAGAAAUUUAUGACCCUCAUCCUUUUAAAUGAUAGCCUGAACGCUGGGCUGUAGAAUCAAAUUUAUAAGUCAUUUUGAAAAUCUUUCUUUUGGCUUCACCUGACUAUAUUACCUAAAGGAAAAAAAAACACAUGGUGCUUUUUGUUCAUGUAUUUAAAACAGAACAUACAGUGGUCCAUUUGAGGGUUUUUUGCCAGAGAAUUUGGCACUGUUGAGAAAACAAGAGCUUUGAAAAUCCAGGCAAACAUGACUUAACUUUUCAACAGCUUAUGGUGAGUUCUGUGAUCUUGAACAGGUUCUCACUUCUUUGAACCUCUUUCAUUUUCUAUAAAAUGGAGAUACUGGCCGGGCGCAGUGGCUCACACCUGUAAUCCAAGCACUUUGGGAGGCCGAGGCUGGCAGAUCACGAGGUCAGGAGUUCAAGACCAGCCUAGACAACAUGGUGAAACCCCGUCUCUACUAAAAAUACAAAAAAAUUAGCUGGGCGUCGUGUCAGGUGCCCAUAAUCCCAGCUACUCGGAAGGCUAAGGCAGGAGAAUUGCUUGAACCCAGGAGGCGAAGGUUGCAGUGAUCCGAGACCGCACCACUGCACUCCAGCCUGGGCAAGAGCGAGACUCUAAAAAAAAAAAAAUUGGAGAUACUAUUAUCUAGUUCACAACAUUCUUUUUAUUUUUUACUUUAAAAAAUCUAGUAGGCUGGGUGCCAUAAUCUCAGCACUUUGGGAGGCCGAGGCAGGCAGAUCACUUGAGGCCAGGAGUUCGAGACCAGCCUGACAAACAUGGUGAAACCCCGUAUCUACUGAAAAUAUAAAAAUUAGCCAGACAUAGUGGCAUGCACCUGUAAUCCCAGCUACUCGGGAGGGUAAGGCAGGAGAAUCACUUGAAUUCUGGAGGCGGAGGUUGCAGUGAGCCGAGAUCGUGCCACUGCACUCCAAGCCUGGGCAACAGAGUGCGACUCCGUCUCAAAAUAAAUAAAUAAAAAUAAAAAUACAAAAAAAGUUAGCCCAGUGUGGUGGCACAGGCCUGUAAUCCCAGCUACUCAGGAGGCUGAGGCAUGGGAAUCACUUGAACUCAGGAGGUGGAGGUACCAGUGAGCCAAGAUCGUGCCACUGCACUCUAACCUGGGCAACAGAGCCAGAUUCUGUCUGAAAAAAAAAAAAAAAAAAAAAAAAAAAAAAAAAAUCUAAUAAUACAUGCUUGUUGGAAGUUAGCAACAUACAAUUGUAUUUUAAAAAGUAAUCAAAUCUUAUUUUAUUUCCCCAUUCUAAUUCCAGGUUUGUUGUUUAUCUUUGUGUAUUUUUGUCUUCUGCAUACACAGCUUAAUGUGGAAGCUCUCUUAACCUUAACCUUCACUUGACUGAUUAAUUGGAGCAGAUAUCCUCCUUUUCCUAAACUCUAUUCUGUAAUAUGUUCAAGCAUUUCUGCAAACUCUACUCUGUAAUGCACUCAAGUGUCUCACCAGUCAAGUUGUAUUCCUGACAAGAGGCAGUUAUAUUUGCUCCCAAACUAGUGUGUGCUGGUUAUGUUUGUCACAUGUGUUUAAUUAAACACUACAUAAACCUGUAAAA